AGGGAACACAUGAAUCCCAGCAGAGGAAAGUUGCCAAACUCUAGACCUGCAAAUUAUAUAUAAUUUACAGUACGAAGACCCUGCAGGAUCUAAGGCAGUGGACACUAAGGGAGCCAGACCCAGGGGCACAGUUAGAACAGACCCCUCCCUUCAUAGGAGCUCCCUUAUCCAGAUUCUGCCUUUUAAAUACUGGCUCUGCUGAGAAAGAGGAUCUGCCCGGCGCGUCCCAGCGAGAGCCUGUGGACCACAUGAGGAUAAGCAGACCAUGAAUGUAGCCCCACACAACGUGUAUACUCUUGCAUUUGUACAGCCAUUGGCGGCAUUGUGCUGAGAAGCCAGGAUCUUGGGCUCAGUAACCAGAUGCCAGCCCCAAGCAGUGUCACUGGAACCCCAACACCAGGGAUUGGAAGUUAGGCAAGAGGUGUCAGGAUGGCUUCCAAGGUCACCAGGAUGUCUCUAUCUAUGAAGCUGCUGCCUUGGCUUUCUUCAGCAGACAGUCACUGCUUCCGCUAUCAAGCUGCUGGGACACUGCUGCUAUUAUAACGAUGAUGUCUGCAGCCUUCUGCAGCCUCUGCAGCCUCUGCCUUCAUGUCACCAGCAGGCCUGUAAUACUGAAAGCAGGCAAUUCCAGAGUUUACUGCUCCAGUGUUACAAGACCAGGAAAGCAGCUCCUCACCAGGCUCUGUUGUAGGCCCCCAGGGAACCAUGAUGACGAGUGAGCAUAGGUUCUCGAUUGUAUUGGCCUUGGGGAGAAUUGGACCGCACAGUGACUGUCACACAAAUGGAUUCAAGGGUUACAGAAAAAAAAAAAAAAAAAGACACACAGUACUAGGAGGAAUGGGUGCUGGUUAGAGUCUGAAAAUGAAUUAUGCCUAAUAUAAAGGUAAGCUGUGAAUUAAUCUGGUGGCUGUACUGAUUUACCUUGUAAUCCCCAAUAACUCUACAGAGAAACCAAGAUGUAUUUAAGACUGCACCUCAAUAGCUGAGCAGUUAAAUGAAUGAUGUGUCUUAAACCGCUAUGCUAAUCUGGCUAACUAACUCCCAGCCCCAUCCCAUGAUGCUUGUGUAUCGAUCUGGCUCUCCAGACCCCUUCUUCAUUGCUCCAAUUCCUCCAUCCUGCCUGUGAUCUGACUCUCCUCUCCUUCUCUCUUCUGCCCAACCACUGGGUUAUCAGCAUUU